rnacentral:tRNA from 1 species
GCCUGGGUGGCUCAGUCGGUUAAGCGUCUGACUUCGGCUCAGGUCAUGAUCUCACAGUUUGUGAGUUCGAGCCCCAUGUCGGGCU